GGUUAAGUGAAUAAGGGCGCACGGUGGAUGCCUUGGCACUAGGAGCCGAUGAAGGACGGGACUAACACCGAUAUGCUUUGGGGAGCUGUAAGUAAGCUAUGAUCCAGAGAUUUCCGAAUGGGGGAACCCAAUAUCUUUUAUAGGAUAUUACUUUUCAGUGAAUACAUAGCUGAUUAGAGGUAGACGCAGAGAACUGAAACAUCUUAGUACCUGCAGGAAGAGAAAGAAAAUUCGAUUCCCUGAGUAGCGGCGAGCGAAACGGGAAGAGCCCAAACCAACAAGCUUGCUUGUUGGGGUUGUAGGACUCCAAUAUGGUAGUCUGUUAGUAUAGUUGAAGGAUUUGGAAAAUUCCGCUAAAGAGGGUGAAAGCCCCGUAGACGAAAUGCUGACAACACCUAGGAGGAUCCUGAGUACGGCGGAACACGAGAAAUUCCGUCGGAAUCCGCGGGGACCAUCCCGCAAGGCUAAAUACUCCCUAGUGACCGAUAGUGAACCAGUACCGUGAGGGAAAGGUGAAAAGCACCCCGGAAGGGGAGUGAAAUAGAUCCUGAAACCGUGUGCCUACAACAAGUCAAAGCUCGUUAAUGAGUGAUGGCGUGCCUUUUGUAGAAUGAACCGGCGAGUUACGAUUGCAUGCGAGGUUAAGUCGAAGAGACGGAGCCGCAGCGAAAGCGAGUCUGAAUAGGGCGAAUGAGUAUGUAGUCGUAGACCCGAAACCAUGUGAUCUACCCAUGUCCAGGUUGAAGGUGCGGUAAAACGCACUGGAGGACCGAACCCACGUACGUUGAAAAGUGCGGGGAUGAGGUGUGGGUAGCGGAGAAAUUCCAAACGAACUUGGAGAUAGCUGGUUCUCUCCGAAAUAGCUUUAGGGCUAGCCUCGGAAUUGAGAAUGAUGGAGGUAGAGCACUGUUUGGACUAGGGGCCCAUCUCGGGUUACCGAAUUCAGAUAAACUCCGAAUGCCAUUCAUUUAUAUCCGGGAGUCAGACUGCGAGUGAUAAGAUCCGUAGUCGAAAGGGAAACAGCCCAGACCACCAGCUAAGGUCCCAAAAUAUAUGUUAAGUGGAAAAGGAUGUGGGGUUGCACAGACAACUAGGAUGUUGGCUUAGAAGCAGCCACCAUUUAAAGAGUGCGUAAUAGCUCACUAGUCGAGUGACCCUGCGCCGAAAAUGUACCGGGGCUAAACAUAUUACCGAAGCUGUGGACUACACCAUUAGGUGUAGUGGUAGGAGAGCGUUCUAAGGGCGUUGAAGGUCGAUCGUGAGGACGGCUGGAGCGCUUAGAAGUGAGAAUGCCGGUAUGAGUAGCGAAAGACAGGUGAGAAUCCUGUCCACCGUAUGACUAAGGUUUCCUGGGGAAGGCUCGUCCGCCCAGGGUUAGUCGGGACCUAAGCCGAGGCCGAUAGGCGUAGGCGAUGGACAACAGGUUGAUAUUCCU
rnacentral:rRNA from 1 species